GCAGUUGAGACCCAAAUGGAAGUAUAAGAAGUAAAAAUAAUAGGUCCCCUUUAACAUUGAUGACAUAAAUUUGUGGAUAUAUUUCACUUUAAAAGUUGGAUUUUAAGUCUUUCAAUGGCAUUUGUCCCACCUGAGCUGCUGUGGUGUCUAGUUUCCUCAGAUGUGCAGAAAACUUUAAAAACUAAUGGAAAAAUAGAAUUUUGAUGCGACAAAAUUGUGAAUUAGUUUUUCUUUCCUUUGGGUCUGCCUUUCAGGGUUUCUCGUCCGUCAGACAGUGAUCAACGUAUGCCGACGGAAGCGCCUGGAGAGCGACUUGUACAACCCGCCACAUGUAAGGCGAAAACAGAAAAUCACUGAAAUUGUGCAGCGCUACCGCAACAAACAACUGGAGCCUGAGUUCUACACCUCCCUCUUCCACGAGGUCAGAGAUGGAAAGCCUCACCUCUAACCCCGCUCCCUCUAUCCUGUCCUAACACUGGCUCACACACACACUCUUACCCUGAACCUCUACACAACAUACAGCUGCGGUCACACAUCUAUCUACAAAAACACACACACACACACAAAAUCUUUAUAUUUAUACUGUACUAUUUUGUUAUUUAUAUGAAUACAUAUAUCAACACUGUUUGCCUUUGACUCUGAGAUCAAAGUGUCAGAAACCAUGCCAAGGUGAGGGAGAAACACCAACAUUUCUGUAUUCCAGCCGCUCACCCUGGCUCUGAAUGAUGGAGAGUCUAAUAGUCACUGUCUCUGUUUGUGUUUAGGUUCAGGCUUUGCAGCAAAGUAAAGGUUUGCUUGGUCUUUAAUGCAAUACGUCACUAACAAUGUUGGCCUUUCUGAACUUGUAAAAAACGUUCUUUACACCUUUGUGAUUACUACAUGAUUUUAUGGGGUUUAGUAACAUGAAAUUGUGCUCAAAUCUGUUUUUCAUCAUCAAUCAAAACAGAUUUCUGUUUGGACUUUUGCCAAGGAUAAAAACGUUAAAUCGACAUGACCGUGUUUUUGCAAGACAAAGGUUGACCCAUAAUCUUAUCUCACCACUAACUAUCCACAUAUUAUUUCUUGCUAGCGCCAGCUACAGUCUUCCUUGUGCAAACCUCAUGUUUGGCCUUUGGUCUGUCUGUCAGUUUUCUCCCAUUUUCUUGUGAUGCUUUACUGAGUGCGAAUGUCAUUUUUGACGCCCUCUGUGCUUCAUGCAUGGCUCUCCUGUCACACAGCUGCCAGUACUGUGUGUGUGUGUGUGUGUGUGUGUGUGUGUGUGUGUGUGUGUGUGUGUGUCCGAUUCUUUUUGCUCGUUCAGCUAGUCAGUCGACUCUACAUGAGGUCAGGGAGCUUUUAAGAGUUCUGAACGUGGCACUAAAAACUGAAAGUUGUCACUUUAAAUUAAUGAAAUCUCAAGGCUACACUUUUUUUUUAUUAUUUCUUUUUUUUUUUUUUUUCCUUCUUCAGAAUCUGUCAAUAAAAUGCCAUUAGUUUCUCAGUAGUGCUGAAGUUUACUGAUAGAGUUCCUGGGUUUGGCCUUGAUGUUUGCAGGGCUAAGCUUAGACUAACCUCAGAUCUGGUUGAGGUGUGAAGCCACUGCAGAUACCAAACUGAAACAUUGCACAGUGUGUCUCUUCUAAACAACAUCCGUAUGAUGGUUUCUCCGGCCAAAGUGCUCGCCGUAGCUCACAGUGUGAUGGUGAACAGUGCACACAUCUUGAGUCAGCCUAUGUGUGUAAAGGCUUAAGAUUUCUGCACCAUGCUGUAUAAACUUGGUCAGAUUUGCUGAUUUAAGCUGUAUUUCUUUGAAAACCAUUAAAAAAAAAUCUAAUUUCUGUUAAGUUUGAAGUUUGGCCUACACAAACGUACGUUGAACCUUAAAUUUUUUGCUUUACGUUUCACUCGUAUUUUUUCACUGUAUCUUGGUUUUGAUUAAUGCCCUCUGACUGUCUGCCUGUAAUAAUGUGACUUUUAUUUAUCACAGAGAUGGAACCGGGCAAAACACCUCUUAGUUUCUUUUUGAUAUAUAUUGGAAAGUCUUAAUGCACUGAGCACAUUUUAACUAUUUUUUGUUACCUUACAUGUCUUUUUGUACUUUUUUGCAUUUUGAAAGAAAAUCCCUGCUGAAGGAAGUUUUAUCUUGUGAAAUAUGAAUGAAGAGGCUUUGUGGAGUUUUUAACCUAUCAUGUCUGAUUGUGACUCACUUUUUAUGACAGUGCUGUAUGCACACGCCUUUUCUGGAAGGAAAGUUCAUGAAAUAUGCUUCGAAGAAACUGCAUACAAUCAGUCACACGUUCCUGUUACUCCUCUGUUGUUGGACUGUAUUUAAGGACUUGCUAUGUAUAGAAGUGGAAGAUUUGUAAAUAUAUGAUAGCCUAAGGCAUUCACAAGUUGUCUGUAGUGUUCCUCAGCUGAGGCGAUGGAGAAAAAAAUGUAUGCAAGUCUACAGUUAUGUGUGGGAGGAACGUGAUGGGUUUGAAUGUAACAUGCAUCAAUUAAAACUAUUAUUGACCUUUUAA